CCUACGGGAGGCAGCAGUGAGGAAUAUUGGUCAAUGGGCGCGAGCCUGAACCAGCCAAGUAGCGUGAAGGAUGACUGCCCUACGGGUUGUAAACUUCUUUUAUAAGGGAAUAAAGUGUGGGACGGGUCCUGUUUUGUAUGUACCUUAUGAAUAAGGAUCGGCUAACUCCGUGCCAGCAGCCGCGGUAAUACGGAGGAUCCGAGCGUUAUCCGGAUUUAUUGGGUUUAAAGGGUGCGUAGGCGGCCUUUUAAGUCAGCGGUGAAAGUCUGUGGCUCAACCAUAGAAUUGCCGUUGAAACUGGGAGGCUUGAGUAUGUUUGAGGCAGGCGGAAUGCGUGGUGUAGCGGUGAAAUGCUUAGAUAUCACGCAGAACCCCGAUUGCGAAGGCAGCCUGCCAAGCCAUGACUGACGCUGAUGCACGAAAGCGUGGGGAUCAAACAGGAUUAGAUACCCGUGUAGUC
rnacentral:rRNA from 1 species